rnacentral:rRNA from 1 species
CAGUAGCCACGGGAAUACGAAGGGGGCUAGCGUUGUUCGGAAUUACUGGGCGUAAAGCGCACGUAGGCGGACAUUUAAGUCAGGGGUGAAAUCCCGGGGCUCAACCCCGGAACUGCCUUUGAUACUGGGUGUCUAGAGUAUGGAAGAGGUGAGUGGAAUUCCGAGUGUAGAGGUGAAAUUCGUAGAUAUUCGGAGGAACACCAGUGGCGAAGGCGGCUCACUGGUCCAUUACUGACGCUGAGGUGCGAAAGCGUGGGGAGCAAACAGGAUUAGAUACCCGCGUAGUCCCUGUCUCUUAUAC